GGGUUGUGAGGUUAAGCGACUAAGCGUACACGGUGGAUGCCCUGGCAGUCAGAGGCGAUGAAGGACGUGCUAAUCUGCGAUAAGCGUCGGUAAGGUGAUAUGAACCGUUAUAACCGGCGAUUUCCGAAUGGGGAAACCCAGUGUGAUUCGUCACACUAUCAUUAACUGAAUCCAUAGGUUAAUGAGGCGAACCGGGGGAACUGAAACAUCUAAGUACCCCGAGGAAAAGAAAUCAACCGAGAUUCCCCAGUAGCGGCGAGCGAACGGGGAGCAGCCCAGAGCCUGAAUCAGUGUGUGUGUUAGUGGAAGCGUCUGGAAAGGCGCGCGAUACAGGGUGACAGCCCCGUACACAAAAAUGCACAUACUGUGAGCUCGAUGAGUAGGGCGGGACACGUGGUAUCCUGUCUGAAUAUGGGGGGACCAUCCUCCAAGGCUAAAUACUCCUGACUGACCGAUAGUGAACCAGUACCGUGAGGGAAAGGCGAAAAGAACCCCGGCGAGGGGAGUGAAAAAGAACCUGAAACCGUGUACGUACAAGCAGUGGGAGCCUCUUAAUGGGGUGACUGCGUACCUUUUGUAUAAUGGGUCAGCGACUUAUAUUCUGUAGCAAGGUUAACCGAAUAGGGGAGCCGAAGGGAAACCGAGUCUUAACUGGGCGUUAAGUUGCAGGGUAUAGACCCGAAACCCGGUGAUCUAGCCAUGGGCAGGUUGAAGGUUGGGUAACACUAACUGGAGGACCGAACCGACUAAUGUUGAAAAAUUAGCGGAUGACUUGUGGCUGGGGGUGAAAGGCCAAUCAAACCGGGAGAUAGCUGGUUCUCCCCGAAAGCUAUUUAGGUAGCGCCUCGUGAAUUCAUCUCCGGGGGUAGAGCACUGUUUCGGCAAGGGGGUCAUCCCGACUUACCAACCCGAUGCAAACUGCGAAUACCGGAGAAUGUUAUCACGGGAGACACACGGCGGGUGCUAACGUCCGUCGUGAAGAGGGAAACAACCCAGACCGCCAGCUAAGGUCCCAAAGUCAUGGUUAAGUGGGAAACGAUGUGGGAAGGCCCAGACAGCCAGGAUGUUGGCUUAGAAGCAGCCAUCAUUUAAAGAAAGCGUAAUAGCUCACUGGUCGAGUCGGCCUGCGCGGAAGAUGUAACGGGGCUAAACCAUGCACCGAAGCUGCGGCAGCGACACUAUGUGUUGUUGGGUAGGGGAGCGUUCUGUAAGCCUGCGAAGGUGUACUGUGAGGUAUGCUGGAGGUAUCAGAAGUGCGAAUGCUGACAUAAGUAACGAUAAAGCGGGUGAAAAGCCCGCUCGCCGGAAGACCAAGGGUUCCUGUCCAACGUUAAUCGGGGCAGGGUGAGUCGACCCCUAAGGCGAGGCCGAAAGGCGUAGUCGAUGGGAAACAGGUUAAUAUUCCUGUACUUGGUGUUACUGCGAAGGGGGGACGGAGAAGGCUAUGUUGGCCGGGCGACGGUUGUCCCGGUUUAAGCGUGUAGGCUGGUUUUCCAGGCAAAUCCGGAAAAUCAAGGCUGAGGCGUGAUGACGAGGCACUACGGUGCUGAAGCAACAAAUGCCCUGCUUCCAGGAAAAGCCUCUAAGCAUCAGGUAACAUCAAAUCGUACCCCAAACCGACACAGGUGGUCAGGUAGAGAAUACCAAGGCGCUUGAGAGAACUCGGGUGAAGGAACUAGGCAAAAUGGUGCCGUAACUUCGGGAGAAGGCACGCUGAUAUGUAGGUGAAGUCCCUCGCGGAUGGAGCUGAAAUCAGUCGAAGAUACCAGCUGGCUGCAACUGUUUAUUAAAAACACAGCACUGUGCAAACACGAAAGUGGACGUAUACGGUGUGACGCCUGCCCGGUGCCGGAAGGUUAAUUGAUGGGGUUAGCGCAAGCGAAGCUCUUGAUCGAAGCCCCGGUAAACGGCGGCCGUAACUAUAACGGUCCUAAGGUAGCGAAAUUCCUUGUCGGGUAAGUUCCGACCUGCACGAAUGGCGUAAUGAUGGCCAGGCUGUCUCCACCCGAGACUCAGUGAAAUUGAACUCGCUGUGAAGAUGCAGUGUACCCGCGGCAAGACGGAAAGACCCCGUGAACCUUUACUAUAGCUUGACACUGAACAUUGAGCCUUGAUGUGUAGGAUAGGUGGGAGGCUUUGAAGUGUGGACGCCAGUCUGCAUGGAGCCGACCUUGAAAUACCACCCUUUAAUGUUUGAUGUUCUAACGUUGGCCCCUGAUCGGGGUUGCGGACAGUGUCUGGUGGGUAGUUUGACUGGGGCGGUCUCCUCCUAAAGAGUAACGGAGGAGCACGAAGGUUGGCUAAUCCUGGUCGGACAUCAGGAGGUUAGUGCAAUGGCAUAAGCCAGCUUGACUGCGAGCGUGACGGCGCGAGCAGGUGCGAAAGCAGGUCAUAGUGAUCCGGUGGUUCUGAAUGGAAGGGCCAUCGCUCAACGGAUAAAAGGUACUCCGGGGAUAACAGGCUGAUACCGCCCAAGAGUUCAUAUCGACGGCGGUGUUUGGCACCUCGAUGUCGGCUCAUCACAUCCUGGGGCUGAAGUAGGUCCCAAGGGUAUGGCUGUUCGCCAUUUAAAGUGGUACGCGAGCUGGGUUUAGAACGUCGUGAGACAGUUCGGUCCCUAUCUGCCGUGGGCGCUGGAGAACUGAGGGGGGCUGCUCCUAGUACGAGAGGACCGGAGUGGACGCAUCACUGGUGUUCGGGUUGUCAUGCCAAUGGCACUGCCCGGUAGCUAAAUGCGGAAGAGAUAAGUGCUGAAAGCAUCUAAGCACGAAACUUGCCCGAGAUGAGUUCUCCCUGACUCCCUGAGAGUCCUGAAGGAACGUUGAAGACGACGACGUUGAUAGGCCGGGUGUGUAAGCGCAGCGAUGCGUUGAGCUAACCGGUACUAAUGAACCGUGAGGCUUAACCUUACAACGCCGAAGCUGUU
rnacentral:rRNA from 1 species